ACAAUAACACCAGGACCGUCGGUCUACCGAGCAAUAUCAUCCGCUCGGUGGAAGAUCUUUCCUUUCGUCGUAUAUA
rnacentral:pre_miRNA from 1 species